rnacentral:lncRNA from 1 species
UUUAGUCCAUCCCGCGAGUGUGUGAUUGUGUUUCGCUAAGUCGUGUUCUUGUUUUUCGAGGUGCGACAUUACCACAUGCAAUUCUUUCAAUUUCUGGAUCAAACAAUUUUAAUGCCGAUCUUAGGGUGUGCAUACACAGAUAAGAAAUACCUCAGUAGUACGAAAAUUAAUGAAAAUAAAAACAAAAAUAAAAAUACAAAAUAAAAAAAAU